rnacentral:rRNA from 1 species
AUUGAACGCUGGCGGCAUGCCUUACACAUGCAAGUCGAACGGUAACGGGCCUUCGGGUGCCGACGAGUGGCGAACGGGUGAGUAAUGUAUCGGAACGUACCUUUCAGUGGGGGAUAACGUAGCGAAAGUUACGCUAAUACCGCAUAUUCUGUGCGCAGGAAAGCAGGGGAUCGCAAGACCUUGCGCUGAUUGAGCGGCCGAUAUCAGAUUAGCUAGUUGGUGAGGUAAAGGCUCACCAAGGCGACGAUCUGUAGCGGGUCUGAGAGGAUGAUCCGCCACACUGGAACUGAGACCAGGUCCAGACGCCACCGGGAGGCAGCAGUGGGGAAUUUUGGACAAUGGGGGCAACCCUGAUCCAGCCAUGCCGCGUGAGUGAAGAAGGCCUUCGGGUUGUAAAGCUCUUUCGGCCGGGAAGAAAUCGUAUGGGCUAAUACCCUGUGCGGAUGACGGUACCGGCAUAAGAAGCACCGGCUAACUACGUGCCAGCCGCCGCCGUAAAAC